UACGGAGGGUGCGAGCGUUGUUCGGAAUCACUGGGCAUAAAGCGCGUGUAGGCGGCCUGCUAAGUCUGAUGUGAAAGCCCGAGGCUCACCCUCGGAAGUGCAUUGGAAACUGGCAGACUGGAGUCCCGGAGAGGAGGGUGGAAUUCCUGGUGUAGCGGUGAAAUGCGCAGAUAUCAGGAAGAACACCAAUGGCGAAGGCAGCUCUCUGGGACGGUACUGACGCUGAGACGCGAAAGCGUGGGGAGCGAACAGG
rnacentral:rRNA from 1 species